CGAGACAUGGCACCUGUGCCUCAAAAGGGAGGCCUUGAGGCUGUAGCUAACUUCCCAGUGGCAUUGUUCGUGGUUCUGAUCAGUUUCUGGUUUGCAACAAUGUCUCUGAAACAAGUUGGGAGUGAUUAUAAGCAUAAGCACUUGUUCUUCUCAUUGCUGUGGA